rnacentral:rRNA from 1 species
UACGGAGGGGGCUAGCGUUGUUCGGAAUUACUGGGCGUAAAGCGCACGUAGGCGGCUUUGCAAGUCGAGUGUGAAAUCCCCAGGCUUAACCUGGGAACUGCAUUCGAGACUGCAUAGCUAGAGUAUGGGAGAGGGAAGUGGAAUUUCAGGUGUAGCGGUGAAAUGCGUAGAUAUCUGAAGGAACAUCAGUGGCGAAAGCGACUUCCUGGACCAAUACUGACGCUCAUGUGCGAAAGCGUGGGGAGCAAACAGG